CGUUGGUGGAGUGAUUUGUUUGGUUGAUUCCGUGAACGAACGAGAUCUCAGCCUCUAAAUAGGGGCGGGGUCGAUACAGUCGGUGUCGCGGUUCUCCGGAAUUCGCGCCCGUCUAGACGCCCGCUGCCUUCUUAGAGGAACAUCGUGCGUCUUUUAGCACGAUGGAGCGAGCCAAUAGCAGGU
rnacentral:rRNA from 1 species